rnacentral:rRNA from 1 species
AGAGUUUGAUCCUGGCUCAGGAUGAACGCUGGCGGCGUGCCUAACACAUGCAAGUCGAGCGAUCUUCUUCGGAAUAUAUCGGCGGACGAGGAGAUUAACGCGUGGACUAACCUGCCCUGUACGCACGGAUAACAUAUCUAAAGGUAUGCUACUACGAGAUAAUAUACUUUUAUCGCAUGGUAGAAGUAUCGGAGCUCUCGUUGUACAUGAUGGACCCGCUUCUGAUUAACUAGAUGGCGAGGCCAUGGCUCACCAUGGCGACGAUCCGUAUCCGACCUGAGAGGGUGAUCAGCCACAUUGAAACUGAGACCCGGCCCAUACUCCUACAGAAGGCAGCAGUAGUCAAUAUUGAAGAAUGGGCGAAAACCUGUUGCAGCUGCGCCGCGCGAUCAAUCAACGCCUUCGCGUCAUAGAGCUCUGUCCUCAAGGAAGAUACUGACUUGACUUGAGGAGAAAGCCCCGGCUAACUACGUGCCACCAGCCGCGGCUAUAUAUAUGGCGCUAGCGUUAUCCGUAAUUACUGGGCGAGCAUGGUGCGUAUGUGGUUUCUUAAGUCAGAGGUGAAACGCUACGGCUCAUCCGUAGUAAGCCUUUCAAACUUAGAUACUUGAUUGCAUGAGAGGAUACUGGAAUUCCUAGUGUAACAGUAUAAUGCAUAUAUAUUAGGAGGAACACCAUGUGCAAAUGCUGCUCUCUGGACUGUAGCUGACAGUGACGCUCUAGAGCGUGACUAGCACUCAGGAUUAGAUACCCUGGUAGUCCACGCCAUUAACUAUGAUUACUAGCUGUCCCAUGUUCCCCCUUCCGAGGUGCAGCUAACAUAUUACCUACUCCGCCUGGGAAGUACGCUCGCAAGAUUGAAACUCAGAUGAAUUGACGG